rnacentral:rRNA from 1 species
CCCUUAGAUGUCCUGGGCUGCACGCGCGCUACACUGACGAACUCAACGAGCUUAUCACCUUGGCAGAGAUGUCUGGGUAAUCUUUUGAAAGUUCGUCGUGCUGGGGAUAGGUGAUUGUAAUUAUUCGUCUUGAACGAGGAAUUCCUAGUAAGUGUGAGUCAUCAGCUCGCGCUGAUUACGUCCCUGCCCUUUGUACACACCGCCCGUCGCUCCUACCGAUUGAAUGGUCCGGUGAGGUUCUCGGAUUUUUUCUGUUGUUUGGUUCGCUAAACGAUUGAAGAGAGAAGUUACCCAAACCUUACCAUUUAGAGGAAGGAGAAGUCGUAACA